rnacentral:lncRNA from 1 species
CUCAUGCGUUCAUAACUUUAUCGAUCCGGUUGAUUCUCAGUGAUCCAGUCAGUAAAGUUUGACCUUUAGUUUGUUUUUUUUUGUUUUGUUUUUUGUUUUUUUUGGUAAUUAAUUGUUUUUUGUUUUUGUAUUAACACUCAGCUUAGGUUUUUGGACAGUGGUGGUUUUAGAGCAUUUUACCUCUGAAUAAUCCUAAUCCCCUGUAUUAGCCACCUUUUUAUUCCAACAGUGAAUACCAAAGGCAAGCUGUAUCAUAAAGAAAAGAAGUUUAUGAAGCUCAUAGUUGUGGACACUGGAAGUGCAAGCUGUAUGAUGUAGGCUCUGCUGAACCACAGCAGCACAGUGGGGAGAAAAAGCUUUCCCACAAAAAAAAGAGUCGUAUGAAGAAAAUGGAGCAGUGUGGACUGGUGAUGAAGAGCAGAGCUGCCUGGAGCUAGGCUGCUCUGUCAGCCCCGCUGCCCCAGGCUCUGAGCAGCACCAGAUGGUGAGGUCAUGUGGGUGCCCCUGCAGCACCAUCCCAGUGUCCUGCCCACCCCCAGCCUCCCGGUGGUGUUGGUAUUGGGAUCCACACCACAGAGGCAUGGGAGGUCAUACACGCAGAGGUGAAC